rnacentral:rRNA from 1 species
UUAAGCGACUAAGCGUACACGGUGGAUGCCCUGGCAGUCAGAGGCGAUGAAGGACGUGCUAAUCUGCGAUAAGCGUCGGUAAGGUGAUAUGAACCGUUAUAACCGGCGAUUUCCGAAUGGGGAAACCCAGUGUGUUUCGACACACUAUCAUUAACUGAAUCCAUAGGUUAAUGAGGCGAACCGGGGGAACUGAAACAUCUAAGUACCCCGAGGAAAAGAAAUCAACCGAGAUUCCCCCAGUAGCGGCGAGCGAACGGGGAGGAGCCCAGAGCCUGAAUCAGUGUGUGUGUUAGUGGAAGCGUCUGGAAAGGCGCGCGAUACAGGGUGACAGCCCCGUACACAAAAAUGCACAUGCUGUGAGCUCGAUGAGUAGGGCGGGACACGUGGUAUCCUGUCUGAAUAUGGGGGGACCAUCCUCCAAGGCUAAAUACUCCUGACUGACCGAUAGUGAACCAGUACCGUGAGGGAAAGGCGAAAAGAACCCCGGCGAGGGGAGUGAAAAAGAACCUGAAACCGUGUACGUACAAGCAGUGGGAGCACGCUUAGGCGUGUGACUGCGUACCUUUUGUAUAAUGGGUCAGCGACUUAUAUUCUGUAGCAAGGUUAACCGAAUAGGGGAGCCGAAGGGAAACCGAGUCUUAACUGGGCGUUAAGUUGCAGGGUAUAGACCCGAAACCCGGUGAUCUAGCCAUGGGCAGGUUGAAGGUUGGGUAACACUAACUGGAGGACCGAACCGACUAAUGUUGAAAAAUUAGCGGAUGACUUGUGGCUGGGGGUGAAAGGCCAAUCAAACCGGGAGAUAGCUGGUUCUCCCCGAAAGCUAUUUAGGUAGCGCCUCGUGAAUUCAUCUCCGGGGGUAGAGCACUGUUUCGGCAAGGGGGUCAUCCCGACUUACCAACCCGAUGCAAACUGCGAAUACCGGAGAAUGUUAUCACGGGAGACACACGGCGGGUGCUAACGUCCGUCGUGAAGAGGGAAACAACCCAGACCGCCAGCUAAGGUCCCAAAGUCAUGGUUAAGUGGGAAACGAUGUGGGAAGGCCCAGACAGCCAGGAUGUUGGCUUAGAAGCAGCCAUCAUUUAAAGAAAGCGUAAUAGCUCACUGGUCGAGUCGGCCUGCGCGGAAGAUGUAACGGGGCUAAACCAUGCACCGAAGCUGCGGCAGCGACGCUGAUGCGUUGUUGGGUAGGGGAGCGUUCUGUAAGCCUGCGAAGGUGUGCUGUGAGGCAUGCUGGAGGUAUCAGAAGUGCGAAUGCUGACAUAAGUAACGAUAAAGCGGGUGAAAAGCCCGCUCGCCGGAAGACCAAGGGUUCCUGUCCAACGUUAAUCGGGGCAGGGUGAGUCGACCCCUAAGGCGAGGCCGAAAGGCGUAGUCGAUGGGAAACAGGUUAAUAUUCCUGUACUUGGUGUUACUGCGAAGGGGGGACGGAGAAGGCUAUGUUGGCCGGGCGACGGUUGUCCCGGUUUAAGCGUGUAGGCUGGUUUUCCAGGCAAAUCCGGAAAAUCAAGGCUGAGGCGUGAUGACGAGGCACUACGGUGCUGAAGCAACAAAUGCCCUGCUUCCAGGAAAAGCCUCUAAGCAUCAGGUAACAUCAAAUCGUACCCCAAACCGACACAGGUGGUCAGGUAGAGAAUACCAAGGCGCUUGAGAGAACUCGGGUGAAGGAACUAGGCAAAAUGGUGCCGUAACUUCGGGAGAAGGCACGCUGAUAUGUAGGUGAAGCGACUUGCUCGUGGAGCUGAAAUCAGUCGAAGAUACCAGCUGGCUGCAACUGUUUAUUAAAAACACAGCACUGUGCAAACACGAAAGUGGACGUAUACGGUGUGACGCCUGCCCGGUGCCGGAAGGUUAAUUGAUGGGGUUAGCGCAAGCGAAGCUCUUGAUCGAAGCCCCGGUAAACGGCGGCCGUAACUAUAACGGUCCUAAGGUAGCGAAAUUCCUUGUCGGGUAAGUUCCGACCUGCACGAAUGGCGUAAUGAUGGCCAGGCUGUCUCCACCCGAGACUCAGUGAAAUUGAACUCGCUGUGAAGAUGCAGUGUACCCGCGGCAAGACGGAAAGACCCCGUGAACCUUUACUAUAGCUUGACACUGAACAUUGAGCCUUGAUGUGUAGGAUAGGUGGGAGGCUUAGAAGUGUGGACGCCAGUCUGCAUGGAGCCGACCUUGAAAUACCACCCUUUAAUGUUUGAUGUUCUAACGUUGACCCGUAAUCCGGGUUGCGGACAGUGUCUGGUGGGUAGUUUGACUGGGGCGGUCUCCUCCUAAAGAGUAACGGAGGAGCACGAAGGUUGGCUAAUCCUGGUCGGACAUCAGGAGGUUAGUGCAAUGGCAUAAGCCAGCUUGACUGCGAGCGUGACGGCGCGAGCAGGUGCGAAAGCAGGUCAUAGUGAUCCGGUGGUUCUGAAUGGAAGGGCCAUCGCUCAACGGAUAAAAGGUACUCCGGGGAUAACAGGCUGAUACCGCCCAAGAGUUCAUAUCGACGGCGGUGUUUGGCACCUCGAUGUCGGCUCAUCACAUCCUGGGGCUGAAGUAGGUCCCAAGGGUAUGGCUGUUCGCCAUUUAAAGUGGUACGCGAGCUGGGUUUAGAACGUCGUGAGACAGUUCGGUCCCUAUCUGCCGUGGGCGCUGGAGAACUGAGGGGGGCUGCUCCUAGUACGAGAGGACCGGAGUGGACGCAUCACUGGUGUUCGGGUUGUCAUGCCAAUGGCACUGCCCGGUAGCUAAAUGCGGAAGAGAUAAGUGCUGAAAGCAUCUAAGCACGAAACUUGCCCCGAGAUGAGUUCUCCCUGACUCCUUGAGAGUCCUGAAGGAACGUUGAAGACGACGACGUUGAUAGGCCGGGUGUGUAAGCGCAGCGAUGCGUUGAGCUAACCGGUACUAAUGAACCGUGAGGCUUAACCUU